ensembl:lncRNA
UUUGUGUGCGCAACGCAGAUUUUCUCUGCGCAGAGACCGUGCCAACAGUGCGCAAUUGCGCACGUGCGCAGCUUAGAGGGAACAUUGAUGAGGAGUACUACCAAAAGUCUGACCUGCAUAGGCGCAUCUGCUCAGUGUCCUCCUCAGUCAUGCCGAUUACAUAAUUGUUGCUGAGGAGGACUAAUGAGGGAACAUAGCUGUCUGUUAGUUUUUAGUGUGGACACAAAACGGCCAACAAAAAGCCAAGUUUAAAACCAGCCCACCGAGACUUUAAAGCGACAUCCAGAGUGAUUCCGUAGAAACAUGCACUGAACAGGCGGAAAUGGAGGCUAUGCUACAAACCUGACUGCUCAUCACUGCCUUCGUUGCCUGUUGAAGUUCAUGGUCUGACUGCUGGGCUGAGCAUCUGUCCAUCCGUCCGUGGCAGGGGGAGUUGGAGCCUAUUAACCACCAAUUUAGGGCGUAUCCAUGAUAACCUCUGAUGGCGCUGUGCUCCACUUGCCCUAAUGACCCUUCACCUCCCCUCUUGUGUACGGUGAACAUGAAUCACAGUUUUUGACAGAGAUGGAUUUAUGACAAAGGAAGAAGAGACUUAUGAAGUGCUGAUUGGUGUAACCAGGACUCAACCUGGCAAUAAAGUCUGGCAUUUGGAGAGUACAGAGUGUGUGGAGGGUCAUGCUGUACUGUUCCACUUUGAGUGGUUGUGGAGCUGUCCUUUUGGCUCUUGCUCUGUGGUCUGUCAGAUGGAAGACUGAUGAAAGAAUGAUCAAGGGAGAUCAAACAGAUUUUUCCUGAAACCUCAAAAAUGGCUGAUGUACCAAACCUGUAACACUGCUGGACAUUUUUCUGUAGGAGUUUAGUGUGGAAGUGCUCUGUGGACAUUGCUUUCAUUUAAAACAUGAUAUAGGGGACAAAUAUUGCAAUAGGGUGUACUGUGGCAUGGGGAUACUGUUGGAGUACUGUGUUUAGCUGGUUGUAAGUCAUUGUAUAUUUUUAUAUUUUAAAUUUACAAUAAGAUGACCCAACAGUCUCAACAGCUGUUGGAUAGAUUGCUCUGAAUUAUUUUAAAGACAUGCAUGGUACCCAGGAGGAUGAAGUAUCCAGACUAUUUAGUACAGCCAGGUUCACAUUUUGGGUUUUACAUGAAGUGUCUCAACAGUCAUGAAAUGUCAUAACAUGCUGACAUACGAAACUAUUAAGGUUUUGAACACUGUAAUCAUUACCAAAUGCCAUUUAACAUAUUAGCCCAGUGACUGUAAGGAGAGCUUUACCUUCUAAGUAGUUUUUUUUAUGUUAAAUAACUUCUAUUAUCCAAACUGCUGACAGUAUCACUAUUUCAGUUAUUUAAUCUGUGAAUUUUUUCAGGAGCGAUGUAGCCAGUGUAUAAAACUUCAUAGUUAGUUUGCACAAUUUUUGAAAUCCUGCAUGACUUUUCUUUGCAAAACAACCAUUCUAUCCCUUUAUUUUGCAAAAAAUACUUCUUUCUCAUCCACCGGACUACUGAAUGUUUUCUCUUUUCGUACAAAGGAGAGGAGCUGUACGUUUACAAAGAGCUGGGUGGGGUUUUUUUAACAUUAAUCUAGAUUUAAUAUACAUUCCAAAAUGCAUUUUCCCUAUUAAUUAAAAGUAAACCAUGUAUUGUAUGGUACAUUAUCCCUCUAACGGCCCCAUGUGGAGAUUAUGAAGUGGAAAACUAAUGGUGCAGACUUUAGCAUUUGGAUUUUGUCAUUUACAUAUCUGUAAGGGGAUGUCGAUGUAUGUGCAAAUAAGCAGAACUUUAUGUGUCCCGUGCUUUCUCUGCCGCCACCUUUGUCCUCCCCUUCCCCUCCCCAGUUUACAGAGGAAGUCAAAGAAGAAGUGUUGCCUCUCUCCCCUCAGCUAGAGAAGGUAAUGAGAUUCUGUGCACCCUCUAUUACGAGGAGGAUGAGAAAUCUGAUUAUUAAGGAGAGGCAUGUGGCAGUAAGAAAAAUCUGUUUGUUUUUUUCUUAUUGUAUCACCCCAAGAAACAAAGGUGACCCCCAUGUUCCAUUCAUUAAAUCUUGCCUCCUCUAAUUUAUCAAGGUAAACUAUCACAGUUUCUGCUGAGCUAAUCAGAAAUGGGGAAACUUGUUAGGUGUGCCUCAAAAGGACACAUCACAGGAUUUGGAUAUCACUUCACAUACUGAGUAGGGCCUAAUUCAUGCUUCCUAUUGCACAAUAUAUGUUUUAUGGACAUUAGCAUGAGCGCAUUGUGCAUUUUUUUUCCACACAGGAUACCUUAGGACAAUGAGAAUGAAUUAUGACCUCCAUAACAGAACAAGUGUAAUUAUUUCAAGGACACAGAGUUGCUGCAGGUGUGUCUUCUGAUGCAAAUAUCACAGAAAAUAUAAUUUUUUUGCGGUAUAUUGUGAGCCCACACUUAUUGUUAUUUAUGGUAAAAUUUCAAUACCCAGGGACUGCAAAAUUGAAUUUAGCCACGAGAGAGGGAGAGAGAGAGGGAUUCACAACAGAAUCGUUAUUACUGUUAGUGUUAAUAUUCGUCAAAUAUGUCAUUCUCAUGCGCUUAAAGAAUAAUUGUGUUAAUAUGCUACAAAUAAUGUGAACUAUGUUUGUAGAUUAAAAAAAUAUUGUCUGUGGUCCGUGCAUGAGACACGCAUGUAUCAAAACAGUGUGC